UGGAUCAAUAAUGAGCAGGGGUGGCUAUGUGAGACAUACACGAUGAAUACGAGGAUGUGUAGCUCUCUGAGGUCUAA